UACGGGGGGGGCAAGCGUUGUUCGGAAUUACUGGGCGUAAAGGGCGCGUAGGCGGUUUGACAAGUCUGAUGUGAAAUCUCUGGGCUCAACCCAGAGUCUGCAUUAGAAACUGUCGGGCUUGAGUAUGGGAGAGGUGAGUGGAAUUUCCGGUGUAGCGGUGAAAUGCGUAGAUAUCGUGAGGAAGACCAGUGGCGAAGGCGGAUCUCUGGACAGCUCCUGACGCUGAGGCGCGAAGGCUAGGGGAGCAAACGGG
rnacentral:rRNA from 1 species